rnacentral:lncRNA from 7 species
AUGGUCAAGGAUUACUGCAGUUGCAAAGCAAAGCAAAGCAAAGCAGAGACUACUUGUGCGUUUCGAAUGCUAGUUUCUGCAAUGGAGAUCAGAGGAAUAUGUUUGCUUUGCAUUUCUUUUCACCUGUCUUGUUCUGGGCCUGUCCAGAUCAAAGCGCUGCACUAUUUGCAGGCCUUUGCUCCGGCCACGUGCUGUGGCGGUGCUGUGAGGUACCAUUUGUAAGGCUGUGUUCUGUGCAGCCUGGAUAGACACGCUCCCCUCUUGGGCUGAAGGAUCACGGCCCAUCAUUUGCUUUCCUUUGGACGCUGUCUCACCUAAGCUAACCCUUCUCACACAGGACAGCAAAACCUGCAGCAAAACCUGCCUCAUGUACACUCAACCCUUGUGUCACGCAGCAGUUGACACACAGGAUGGGGAGAAGCCCAUGGGCCCUGAUGAGGAGGGUCCCACACGAGUGUGGACCACAGCUGGCUGAGAGCCACGCUGGACAAUGC